AUUGAACGCUGGCGGCAUGCCUUACACAUGCAAGUCGAACGGCAGCGGACCUUCGGGUGCCGGCGAGUGGCGAACGGGUGAGUAAUAUAUCGGAACGUACCUUUCAGUGGGGGAGUAACGUAGCGAAAGUUACGCUAAUACCGCAUAUUCUGUGAGCAGGAAAGCAGGGGAGUCGCAAGACCUUGCGCUGAUUGAGCGGCCGAUAUCAGAUUAGCUAGUUGGUGAGGUAAAGGACUCACCAAGGACGACGAUCUGUAGCGGGUCUGAGAGGAUGAUCCGCCACACUGGAACUGAGACACGGUCCAGACUCCUACGGGAGGCAGCAGUGGGGAAGUUUUGGUACAAUGGGCGGCAAGCCUGAUCCAGCCAUGCCGCGUGAGUGAAGAAGGCCUC
rnacentral:rRNA from 1 species